UGAUGUAUAACUUGCAGUACUUUAGACUAAGUUAUGUUACUGACGACAUUGUUUACACAUCAUCGGGGAAUGAACGAAUAUCCUCACUUCAUAUAUAAUGGUUCAAGCAAUUAUGGUUAUAACUGUUGGUUUGAUCAAUCGGAACCAUCACCCAUGGAUGGAGGAUUCCCUCUUUCUGGAUAUGCCGGUAUGGAAGAUACUAUGCCAAGCUGGUCAUUAGGACCAACAGUAAACGAACUUCGUAUGUUUGACCCCUACAUGUAUCAAGCAGCUCCAUUUUCUCCAUACUCUGAAUGGAGUGGUAAUCAGGUUCCUGUUGGACAAAACAAAGAAUGGAACGAGUCAAUUCCUGGAACCUUCUCCAUGAAAACUGCAGCAGCUUCUGCGAAGCCCUUCCAGCCAAACCAAGCAAGAGUGCCUCCAAAACAAGAUGUGAAUUCUGAAACAAGUUCGACAUUUGGCUUUGGGUUUGACCGCGCCAAACCAUCCCGGUGUCCUCAAAAUGACGGAGGCCUGCCUCUAAGAUAAAUAUUCCAAAAUUACUUAAUCAGAUAUUCUCUUCCUACGAGUUUGUUAAGAUGACGGGAUAUGGAGGUCUGUCCAUUCUAUGGGCACUACGGGGUUUCAAGGAGGGGCCAGCAUGCAGUUUCAAACAUCCAACAAAUCUGGGCAAGACUGUUCCUCCUGCUGGAUCUGAAGAGGCUCCGGUCUCUGCUGAUGGAAUUCAAAAAGCUCAGGUGCCUCCUUCUGGAUCCCAACAAGCUCACCAAACCCAGUUAACCAGUUUAUCGAUCUGAACAGUACUCAAGAUAAAAACUGAUUCUCUGAUGCAGCAGCCUUAUUUUCUGCAUAAGGAUUCUAUUUUAUCAUGAGUACAUGCCUGCUCUGAAACAUUGUAUUGCUAUUUGAGUUUUUCUUUUCUAUCACAAAACUGUAAGGUUUUAUUAGUUUGUAUAAACAAAAUAAGUAACUAGU